rnacentral:rRNA from 1 species
GACGAACGCUGGCGGCGUGCUUAACACAUGCAAGUCGAACGGAAAGGCCCUGCUUUUGUGGGGUGCUCGAGUGGCGAACGGGUGAGUAACACGUGAGUAACCUGCCCUUGACUUUGGGAUAACUUCAGGAAACUGGGGCUAAUACCGGAUAGGAACUCCUGCUGCAUGGUGGGGGUUGGAAAGUUUCGGCGGUUGGGGAUGGACUCGCGGCUUAUCAGCUUGUUGGUGGGGUAGUGGCUUACCAAGGCUUUGACGGGUAGCCGGCCUGAGAGGGUGACCGGCCACAUUGGGACUGAGAUACGGCCCAGACUCCUACGGGAGGCAGCAGUGGGGAAUAUUGCACAAUGGGCGGAAGCCUGAUGCAGCAACGCCGCGUGCGGGAUGACGGCCUUCGGGUUGUAAACCGCUUUCGCCUGUGACGAAGCGUGAGUGGCGGUAAUGGGUAAAGAAGCACCGGCUAACUACGUG